UGUGGGAGCGAGCCUGCUCGCGAUAGCGGAGUGUCAGUCACCUCAAUGUUGACUGAUCCGCCAUCGCGAGCAGGCUCGCUCCCACA
rnacentral:misc_RNA from 1 species